rnacentral:rRNA from 1 species
UACGUAGGGUGCAAGCGUUGUCCGGAAUCAUUGGGCGUAAAGCGCGCGUAGGCGGCCUCAUAAGUCCGUUGUGAAAAGUCAAAGGCUCAACCUUUGAAAGCCGAUGGAUACUGUGAGGCUAGAGUCCGGAAGAGGCGAGUGGAAUUCCUGGUGUAGCGGUGGAAUGCGCAGAUAUCAGGAGGAACACCAAUAGCGAAGGCAGCUCGCUGGGACGGUACUGACGCUAAGGCGCGAAAGCGUGGGGAGCGAACAGG